AUUGAACGCUGGCGGCAGGCCUAACACAUGCAAGUCGAGCGGUAGCACAGAGAGCUUGCUCUCGGGUGACGAGCGGCGGACGGGUGAGUAAUGUCUGGGAAACUGCCUGAUGGAGGGGGAUAACUACUGGAAACGGUAGCUAAUACCGCAUAACGUCGCAAGACCAAAGUGGGGGACCUUCGGGCCUCAUGCCAUCAGAUGUGCCCAGAUGGGAUUAGCUAGUAGGUGGGGUAACGGCUCACCUAGGCGACGAUCCCUAGCUGGUCUGAGAGGAUGACCAGCCACACUGGAACUGAGACACGGUCCAGACUCCUACGGGAGGCAGCAGUGGGGAAUAUUGCACAAUGGGCGCAAGCCUGAUGCAGCCAUGCCGCGUGUGUGAAGAAGGCCUUCGGGUUGUAAAGCACUUUCAGCGGGGAGGAAGGCGUUAAGGUUAAUAACCUUGGCGAUUGACGUUACCCGCAGAAGAAGCACCGGCUAACUCCGUGCCAGCAGCCGCGGUAAUACGGAGGGUGCAAGCGUUAAUCGGAAUUACUGGGCGUAAAGCGCACGCAGGCGGUCUGUCAAGUCGGAUGUGAAAUCCCCGGGCUUAACCUGGGAACUGCAUUCGAAACUGGCAGGCUAGAGUCUUGUAGAGGGGGGUAGAAUUCCAGGUGUAGCGGUGAAAUGCGUAGAGAUCUGGAGGAAUACCGGUGGCGAAGGCGGCCCCCUGGACAAAGACUGACGCUCAGGUGCGAAAGCGUGGGGAGCAAACAGGAUUAGAUACCCUGGUAGUCCACGCCGUAAACGAUGUCGAUUUGGAGGUUGUGCCCUUGAGGCGUGGCUUCCGGAGCUAACGCGUUAAAUCGACCGCCUGGGGAGUACGGCCGCAAGGUUAAAACUCAAAUGAAUUGACGGGGGCCCGCACAAGCGGUGGAGCAUGUGGUUUAAUUCGAUGCAACGCGAAGAACCUUACCUGGUCUUGACAUCCACAGAACUUUCCAGAGAUGGAUUGGUGCCUUCGGGAACUGUGAGACAGGUGCUGCAUGGCUGUCGUCAGCUCGUGUUGUGAAAUGUUGGGUUAAGUCCCGCAACGAGCGCAACCCUUAUCCUUUGUUGCCAGCGGUCCGGCCGGGAACUCAAAGGAGACUGCCAGUGAUAAACUGGAGGAAGGUGGGGAUGACGUCAAGUCAUCAUGGCCCUUACGACCAGGGCUACACACGUGCUACAAUGGCAUAUACAAAGAGAAGCGACCUCGCGAGAGCAAGCGGACCUCAUAAAGUAUGUCGUAGUCCGGAUUGGAGUCUGCAACUCGACUCCAUGAAGUCGGAAUCGCUAGUAAUCGUAGAUCAGAAUGCUACGGUGAAUACGUUCCCGGGCCU
rnacentral:rRNA from 1 species